rnacentral:rRNA from 2 species
UUCGGUGAUUAUAGCGAAGAGGGUACACCCGUUCCCAUCCCGAACACGGAAGUUAAGCUCUUUAGCGCCGAUGGUACUGCGUGGUAGUCUACGUGGGAGAGUAGGACGUUGCCGAAA